rnacentral:rRNA from 1 species
GAAGAGAGGAGCUUGCUCUUCUUGAAUGAGUUGCGAACGGGUGAGUAACGCGUAGGUAACCUGCCUUGUAGCGGGGGAUAACUAUUGGAAACGAUAGCUAAUACCGCAUAACAAUGGGUGACACAUGUCAUUUAUUUGAAAGGGGCAAUUGCUCCACUACAAGAUGGACCUGCGUUGUAUUAGCUAGUAGGUGAGGUAACGGCUCACCUAGGCGACGAUACAUAGCCGACCUGAGAGGGUGAUCGGCCACACUGGGACUGAGACACGGCCCAGACUCCUACGGGAGGCAGCAGUAGGGAAUCUUCGGCAAUGGACGGAAGUCUGACCGAGCAACGCCGCGUGAGUGAAGAAGGUUUUCGGAUCGUAAAGCUCUGUUGUAAGAGAAGAACGAGUGUGAGAGUGGAAAGUUCACACUGUGACGGUAUCUUACCAGAAAGGGACGGCUAACUACGUGCCAGCAGCCGCGGUAAUACGUAGGUCCCGAGCGUUGUCCGGAUUUAUUGGGCGUAAAGCGAGCGCAGGCGGUUAGAUAAGUCUGAAGUUAAAGGCUGUGGCUUAACCAUAGUACGCUUUGGAAACUGUUUAACUUGAGUGCAAGAGGGGAGAGUGGAAUUCCAUGU